GACGAACGCUGGCGGCGUGCUUAACACAUGCAAGUCGAACGGAAAGGCCCUGCUUUUGUGGGGUGCUCGAGUGGCGAACGGGUGAGUAACGCGUGAGUAACCUGCCCUUGAUUUUGGGAUAACUUCAGGAAACUGGGGCUAAUACCGGAUAGGAGCUCCUGCUGCAUGGUGGGGGUUGGAAAGUUUCGGCGGUUGGGGAUGGACUCGCGGCUUAUCAGCUUGUUGGUGGGGUAGUGGCUUACCAAGGCUUUGACGGGUAGCCGGCCUGAGAGGGUGACCGGCCACAUUGGGACUGAGAUACGGCCCAGACUCCUACGGGAGGCAGCAGUGGGGAAUAUUGCACAAUGGGCGGAAGCCUGAUGCAGCAACGCCGCGUGCGGGAUGACGGCCUUCGGGUUGUAAACCGCUUUCGCCUGUGACGAAGCGUGAGUGACGGUAAUGGGUAAAGAAGCACCGGCUAACUACGUG
rnacentral:rRNA from 1 species